AGAACGAACGCUGGCGGCAUGCCUAACACAUGCAAGUCGAACGUGAUCCAGGCUUCGGCCUGGUGAAAGUGGCAGACGGGUGAGUAACGCGUGGGAACCUGCCCUGUGGUAGGGAAUAACCGUGGGAAACUGCGGCUAAUACCCUAUGAGUCCUUCGGGAGAAAGAUUUAUCGCCAUAGGAGGGGCCCGCGUCGGAUUAGGUAGUUGGUGGGGUAACGGCCUACCAAGCCUUCGAUCCGUAGCUGGUCUGAGAGGAUGAUCAGCCACACUGGGACUGAGAUACGGCCCAGACUCCUACGGGAGGCAGCAGUGGGGAAUAUUGGACAAUGGGGGCAACCCUGAUCCAGCAAUGCCGCGUGGAUGAUGAAGGCCUUCGGGUUGUAAAGUCCUUUCGGCGGGAAGAUGAUGACGGUACCCGCAGAAGAAGCCCGGCUAACUUCGCGCCAGCAGCCGC
rnacentral:rRNA from 1 species